rnacentral:rRNA from 1 species
UACGGAGGGUGCAAGCGUUAUCCGGAUUUAUUGGGUUUAAAGGGUGCGUAGGCGGGUCUGUAAGUCAGUGGUGAAAGCCUUCAGCUUAACUGGAGAAUUGCCAUUGAUACUGCUGACCUUGAAUUCGGUUGAAGUGGGCGGAAUGUGUGGUGUAGCGGUGAAAUGCAUAGAUAUCACACAGAACACCGAUUGCGAAGGCAGCUCACUAAGCCGAUAUUGACGCUGAGGCACGAAAGCGUGGGGAGCGAACAGG